CCUACGGGAGGCAGCAGUGGGGAAUAUUGGACAAUGGGGGGAACCCUGAUCCAGCCAUGCCGCGUGUGUGAAGAAGGCCCUCGGGUUGUAAAGCACUUUCAGUGAGGAAGAACGCCUGGUGGUUAAUACCCAUCAGGAAAGACAUCACUCACAGAAGAAGCACCGGCUAACUCCGUGCCAGCAGCCGCGGUAAUACGGAGGGUGCGAGCGUUAAUCGGAAUUACUGGGCGUAAAGCGCGCGUAGGUGGCUUGAUAAGCCGGUUGUGAAAGCCCCGGGCUCAACCUGGGAACGGCAUCCGGAACUGUCAAGCUAGAGUGCAGGAGAGGAAGGUAGAAUUCCCGGUGUAGCGGUGAAAUGCGUAGAGAUCGGGAGGAAUACCAGUGGCGAAGGCGGCCUUCUGGACUGACACUGACACUGAGGUGCGAAAGCGUGGGUAGCAAACAGGAUUAGAUACCCUGGUAGC
rnacentral:rRNA from 1 species